AACGAACGCUGGCGGCAGGCUUAACACAUGCAAGUCGAACGCCCCGCCAGGGGAGUGGCAGACGGGUGAGUAACGCGUGGGAACAUACCCUUUUCUACGGAAUAGCUCUGGGAAACUGGAAUUAAUACCGUAUACGCCCUACGGGGGAAAGGUUUAUCGGGGAAGGAUUGGCCCGCGUUGGAUUAGCUAGUUGGUGGGGUAAAGGCCUACCAAGGCGACGAUCCAUAGCUGGUCUGAGAGGAUGAUCAGCCACAUUGGGACUGAGACACGGCCCAAACUCCUACGGGAGGCAGCAGUGGGGAAUAUUGGACAAUGGGCGCAAGCCUGAUCCAGCCAUGCCGCGUGAGUGAUGAAGGCCUUAGGGUUGUAAAGCUCUUUCACCGAUGAAGAUAAUGACGGUAGUCGGAGAAGAAGCCCCGGCUAACUUCGUG
rnacentral:rRNA from 1 species